GUAGUCCACGCCGUAAACGAUGUCUACUAGCCGUUAGGGUACUUGAUACCCUAGUGGCGUAGCUAACGCGAUAAGUAGACCGCCUGGGGAGUACGGCCGCAAGGUUAAAACUCAAAUGAAUUGACGGGGGCCCGCACAAGCGGUGGAGUAUGUGGUUUAAUUCGACGCAACGCGAAGAACCUUACCAGGCCUUGACAUCCUCGGAACUUUCUAGAGAUAGAUUGGUGCCGCAAGGAGCCGAGAGACAGGUGCUGCAUGGCUGUCGUCAGCUCGUGUCGUGAGAUGUUGGGUUAAGUCCCGCAACGAGCGCAACCCUUGUCCUUAGUUGCCAUCAGGUAAUGCUGGGAACUCUAAGGAGACUGCCGGUGACAAACCGGA
rnacentral:rRNA from 1 species